rfam:Aureococcus anophagefferens unplaced genomic scaffold ATRANscaffold_14, whole genome shotgun sequence.
GCGGAUUUAGCUCAGUUGGGAGAGCGCCAGACUGAAGAUCUCACGGUCCAUCUGUAGGUCACCCGUUCGAUCCGGGUAAUUCGCA